AGAGAGAGAGAGAGAGAGAGAGAGAGAGAGAGAAGAAUAUGCUCCCGGCUAUUGUCUGGCUAUCAGGACGUCUUUUUAUUUCAUCCUCCAAGGAAGGUCCCCGAAAUGCAGGAUACCAACCGGUCAGGUGCACCAGGUCUAGGGGCGAAGUUGAAGAGCUAGGUUGCUACCUGCCGACGCAUGCGCGUUGGCCUAAGGAAUUCACUCUGCCAGCUCCAGUCCCAGCACCUCUCUGAGCUGACCUGGGAAGUGAUGGAUUUAUAGCCACGGCAAUCUCACCAUCAGCUCCAGCUUUUCCCAACAGCCCUAACCCGCUUUCCCGGUCAGUCCCUGGCCAGUGAACCGAAGCCAGGGACUGGCUGCUGAAGGUUGCUGAGUCCCACGCGGGUGUGAGCGUGUGUUUGAGCACUCGUGUAGUGGGGACAUCUGCAAGCUCAUUCCACCGGUUUCCUCGCCCCCCCCCCGAACUUUUGGGUUAGAAGUGGGGGAGGGGCUGGGGGGGUGGCUGGGCCAGAUCUGGAGAAAGGGCCGAUGGAGAGUCCGGGCGCACCUGGACGCUAGCGGUGGGACAGGGCCCCCGCCCCCUCCUCCUCACCCGCCCACGAUCUUCAAGGCACUGCCAGCUUUAGCGGAUCUGAUUGCCACCCCCAGGGCGGCCUCAGCUGUGGAUUCCAGAUCAAGUGUUGCUCAAUAGGUGAAGAUAUUCGCAAUUCUGCUUUACUUGUGUCUCCGAAAUUCAGUCCCCUUCCAUGGGCAGAGGGUUGGGGGUGAGGGGACUACAAACACACACGUGCUCUUUCACGUUGGAAUAUUAACACUUAAGUAUAAAGCCCACCAACAACCCACGUUCACGGUUCCUGCCCCCCUUCCCCCA
rnacentral:lncRNA from 1 species